UACGUGGGGGGCAAGCGUUGUCCGGAUUUAUUGGGCGUAAAGAGCGUGUAGGCGGCCAGGUAGGUCAGCUGUGAAAACUCGAGGCUCAACCUCGAGACGUCGGUUGAAACCACCUGGCUAGAGUCCGGAAGAGGAGAGUGGAAUUCCUGGUGUAGCGGUGAAAUGCGCAGAUAUCAGGAAGAACACCCGUGGCGAAGGCGGCUCUCUGGGACGGUACUGACGCUGAGACGCGAAAGCGUGGGGAGCGAACAGG
rnacentral:rRNA from 1 species